GAAAGGUGGGGGAGGGGGGAGGGGGGAAGCUGGUAGUAUUGCUGGAUUCUAAUAACUGCUAACACAGGGAGUGCAAGAGUAACUCCAGUGGAAGUGAAAGGAUAAAUAAAUCUGCAAGGCUCUUCAUGCUCUGACUGCUGCCUUCUGACUGACUUUAUGAUGACCUGUUCCAGCUAUGCUCACUUCAUUGUGACUCCCCAAAGACUUCAUGCUAUCAUUUCACUUUGACCAUACAAAUCUCCAUUAAAAAGAAAGGUGGUAAACGAUGUGGAAUGGUUUAAAUAAUAUAGGAAUCAUCUUUUGUCAAUUCCGGUCAGCCAGCCUGGAACACACCUGUACUCAGCACAGCUACAGAAGAAUGAGAAUAAUUUGGUUGCCUGGAGCAUCAAAGAUAUCAGAUUUCACGUAAAAGACUUCAAAGCAAUCAUUACAAAUAUGUUCACAGAAUUAAAGGAAAGCAUGGCUUAGAGAAGUAAAGGAAGAAAUCGAGAACCUCCACUGUUCUUGGAGGAGAAGACACAGUUCCAUAUCAUUAUGGUAAAGUCUCUGAGGAACAAAGGAAUCGGAGACAGGUCCAUUUGCUUUCUAACACGUAUGUAACAGGACCCGCAAUAAUGCUGUGGCUGUAGUAUCUCUUUUGAAUUAUGUCAGAGUCACUGAAGUCUUCUGGCACCAGCUUGUGAAAAGGACAACAUGCUGAAUAGUGAGAAAUGGAGGAGAGGUGUGAUUUAUUGUCAGAGAGAGAAGCACAGAAGCAUAACUCUUCUUCCUGACAGAUGCUCCAGCCGAUGACACAGAGGCGAGUAACAGCAUUGUUAUAGAAAUUUGGCCAACUGCUUUAGGCACCAUCUGCUCAUUUUCCCCCAGAAGAGUAAUCCCUUUCAAAGGUUGAAGGGGAAGUUAAAAAGGCUGCUCAGGCACUUGGCAAAUUUCUUUCGAUUUCCAGAAUUGUGAGUCACUCAAGUGUAACUCAAAGAAGAGUUAACCUCAAACAGGGCAAGGGCCAUCAGAGCUGAACCAGACCAAAAAAAUUUAAAAUAAAAAAAUUCUAAGUGA
rnacentral:lncRNA from 1 species